rnacentral:rRNA from 1 species
UACGUAGGGCGCAAGCGUUAUCCGGAAUUAUUGGGCGUAAAGAGCUCGUAGGCGGUUUGUCGCGUCUGCCGUGAAAGUCCGGGGCUCAACUCCGGAUCUGCGGUGGGUACGGGCAGACUAGAGUGCGGUAGGGGUGACUGGAAUUCCUGGUGUAGCGGUGGAAUGCGCAGAUAUCAGGAGGAACACCGAUGGCGAAGGCAGGUCACUGGGCCGCAACUGACGCUGAGGAGCGAAAGCAUGGGGAGCGAACAGG